AGAAGUGAUGUAAACACUCCAAAAGAAAUAAAAUGAUUACUUAGUGACUUUUCAGGAGCUACCAUAUUUACCUAUUUUUAUUGCAUUAGGUUCCCUUGUGUUAGUCUUAUUGUUUAUCUUUGCGAAAAGACAAAUAAUGCGAUUUACUUUACGAUCGAGAAGGGGUCCACAUGUUCCAAUUGGUCAUUCCGCACCCAGGUGGCUUAGAAAAGAAAUUGAACGCAGGCUAGACCUUGUUGGCCGAAUCAAACAUGAACCAAAACUUGUUUCUGAAGCUAGUUCAGCUGAUACUCACAACCCUGAAACCUUUUGCCGGAUGCAAGCUAUGGAUGACAUAAAGAUUUUAGAAAUUCAAUUGCAAGCUGCAGAUCCCAAAGCAGGGAGAAUGCCCAAUGAAAACCUCAGCCCCUUUUUAAUGGCUCAAAUUAAUACUGCAAUGUGUGUGCAUGCAAACUUGGCACCGUCAAACAGCUACUGCAUGAAGAGCUUGCCAUUUCAUACCCAGACAAGACACCUUUUACGAACACCAACAUUGGCCAGUACCACAAAUCCCUGAAACAAGCUAUGAAAUCUACCCUGAAAGUUUGACCUUCAACCAACCUGCUGAAAGCUAUGAUCUUCAUCCAUAUUUUCCUGUUACACCAUUUCUUCCAGUUGGCAUUCAUGAAGAAGAUGAAUUUCAAGGUUUCCCUCUGAAUUCCGAAAAUGAUUCUACGCCUGAAAAUUUCAUGAUGUACACCACAGAAAACGGCUCAUUUUUUAUUGAAAAUAUGCUUUCGGAAAUCUCUGUAUUUGCUUACAACAACUUGCCGAAUUGGGGAUUCUCGCAUCCUUUGGGAUAUGUGCUAAAGAACAAACGAGGAUUGUUCGGAUGUUUCACUCUUCACUCUGGAAAGGCUUGUUAUGUCAAAUUUUCGCCCUACUCAAUCAAAUUCUCGAGUAUUAUACAUUGCACCAGAGGUUAUUUUCGUGGUUUGUUGUCAUUCCGAGUAAUAGCAACAUAGUUCCUGAAUGUUUUUUGUUAUCACAUCUGCAGUACCCAAGCUUUAUAUGAACUCAACAUUGUUGAGGAAUUCAAUAGGUAAACAUUAAACAUAUUUUACAGUAACAUUUUUUUUACUGCUACACCAAAUACUUUACACAAGGUGUAGGAUUACCUUGACAUUGAUAAAAGCAAAUCAUAAACAAGGUAAUUUAUUUUUUUUGCAAUUUUCAGGUUCUUUCUUGACCUGAGUUAUUGGUACUUUUACAUUGCUCAGUGUUCAUCAAGUAGGGAAAUGCAUUCCCAACAGUUUUGAUUUCCCAAUACAAAGAAUGCAACCAACUUCAAUCCACUGGUAGAGAUGGAGCUGUUCCAUUAUAUUUAUUUUUCCUAAAUGUUUAAUUGAAAACAGUUUGUGGUUGUUUUCAAUAAAAAAUUGACAGAUGACAACCACCAAGACCCUAUUAUUUUAUCACCACAACCACACAUCAUCCUUUGUUUAUUAAACCUCUGAAGUUUGGUGCUCUUUGAAACCUCCAGGGCAGUGAUACCGGAAUACCAAUUGCAGCAUCAUCUUCAAUCACACGGCAGUAGCAAUACUGCUUGCUGUUGUGCAAUUCCUUCCUUACAUUCUUCCUUGCUGCAAGCAUCAUAUUUGACUAUCCGAGCGACUACCCAACCGACGUCCAGGUGGAUAACUCUUACUGCCUCCUACUACCGUGCUCUCAACAACAGCAGGGAGUUUUUUUUUCUUUAUUGUUUAUUUUUUUGUGAUUUGUAAUGGCGCCAUGGCGGUUUCUUGAGUAUGACGAGGCGCCGAUGAUUAUUAAUUGCGAGGAGAAUAUUGUGAGUAUCAAGUGUUAUUUUAAGAAAAUCGAUGAGCUAUAGAGCAGGCAUCCCCGAGGAUAAUAACUUUCUUCCUUGAAUAACUAAGUUAAUUCAUAAAAAUUUAUUAUCAGUGUAUUUCAUGUUACAACUAAUACAGAUGCAACAACAGAAACUAAUACAGAUACAAGCUGUUUAGGCUAA